UGGGGUAUAUUGCACAAUGGGCGAAAGCCUGAUGCAGCGACGCCGCGUGAGGGAUGACGGCCUUCGGGUUGUAAACCUCUUUCAGUAGGGACGAAGCGCAAGUGACGGUACCUGCAGAAGACGCACCGGCUAACUACGUGCCAGCAGCCGCGGUAAUACGUAGGGUGCGAGCGUUGUCCGGAAUUACUGGGCGUAAAGAGUUCGUGGGCGGUUUGUCACGUCGUCUGUGAAAUCCUAGGGCUUAACCCUGGACGUGCAGGCGAUACGGACUGACUUGAGUACUACAGGGGGGACUGGAAUGUCUGGUGUAGCGGAGGAAUGCACAGAUAUCAGGAAGAACACCGAUGGCGAAGGCAGGGCUCUGGAUAGUAACUGACGCUGAGGAGCGAAAGAAUGGGUAGCGAACAGG
rnacentral:rRNA from 1 species